ensembl:piRNA 21ur-5599 ncRNA
UUGAUGUUGCACCAGGUGGAA